UCGUUUAUACUCAAUUUCGUCGUCAGUAUUCUCCCUUUUAUUUGUAUCCAACCUCUCUUUUCGUGUAGGUUCAAGAUUAUUGCAGAAAUCAUUUUUCUCCUUCACUUUCUUGUCUUUAUCGGCAAAAAAAUCUGCUUACAAGUACAAAUUUAUAAUUUUUGAUAUCCAACUAUUGCGUUUUAGAAUUUGUGAAAGUAUAGUUUUUUAGCAUAUGCUAAGUCGUUUGUGGUAAUUGGAUGCUAUUAAAUUGAUGUGCGAUUGGUUGAGUUUAUUCCUUAAUUCCUCUAUUGUGUUAUGAAUUGGUUCCUCUGUAUGUUUUCGAAGGCUACUGUUAUUCUUGUGACUAUUUAGAUAUUUUUCUAAGUAUCGUCGAUGCAUAUUGAUGUUUUCAUUGAAUCUACUACUAGUCGAGAUAUGAAUCCACUAGUCGACAUAUAUACUGUUUUUUAUUGUUGUUGAUUGAUACGAGCUUUUCUGAUUUUCAUAAAUCUGAUGCCUCUGUACGAAAUAAGCAUAUGCUGAGUUUGACUGAUUUGAUCAUUUUGCUCUAACUGUUUCUCCACGCUAGGUUGUUCGUUUUACUAAUCAGAAAGUUUUUCAAUUCAUCUAACAAUCUACACUGCUAUUUUCGCAAUGAAGGUGGCAAAAUAGUGAAGUUAAGAAAAAUUAUCGAGGGGUGUAGGCGAGUUCUCCACAAGCUUUAUGAUGUGUUCUCCUGAGUAAUGAACAAGUGAGAAUCAUUUCCAGCAGGCUUUAAUGGUGAGUUAAUAUUGUUUAAAAUUGUUAUGAUUUGUAAAAUUGAAGUACAUACUCUUGAUUUGCAGCACUUGUGGGAUUUUACUAUUCAAUUAGUGAUUAGUACUUCGGUGCUGCAAAUGUUCUAGUUUGGAGACUUUGCCUCUUAAACAUAGGAGAAUAAUUAGUUUUCCCCUGGUUUCUUUAAAUGGUCCUUAGUUUCUUAUUUGAUUUUGAGGUAAUAUGAUUAUUGCCAUCACACAACAAAUUGCUUGGUGGUGUUUAAAUAUUGAAGAAAUUAAAUUGAUAGCAAUAGCAAAUCAUGCCUUUUCAGCAACUUAAUUUUCUUUGUUUUCUUGUGGGCAAACUAAUACAUUGCUACUUUUUUUGCUUUGAAAAUCUUUCCAAAGAGUUUUUGCUGAAAGACACUUGAAAAAAAUAUUCCUGUAAUUUUUACAAGUUUAUUUCUUGUUUCUGAUGUGUUACAUGUAUUAUGGGGUAAGUGGAUCAGUAAAUCAUUUCUUGCAAGUGAGGCAUUUGCAGUGUACUUUAUGAAUAUUACGAAUGUUUUAAUUUCAAAAAUUACAUCUUCAACAGUGUGUAACCUAUUAUAAAACCCUGAGAUCAAUAAAGGAACAAGGUGAAUAGAUAUCCUUUGUUGUACACCUAUUAUUGUUGUUUUAUAAAGGUCAUGCAUUGUAGGGAUUUCCUCAUCCUCUAUAAAGGUCAAUUGUUCUUGUAGUCAAGGUAAUUGUAGUAGGCACCUUGCACCAGAAAAAGAAAAUAAAAGGGCUUUGGUUCUAAUCCCUUUUUGUGGUUUCUUAAGGUGAAUUCAUAUAUUUAUCCCCUCUUUAAGCAAUAUUAUGUGAGUAAUAGACUAUUAUACUGUUAUGUGGAUUCUUAAGCAUGAGCUAUUCUUGGUGCAGGACCGUAGGUUGGUAAUGAAGAGCAAAUUCAAUUGUCAGGAUUCUUGAAAAAUUUGUUCUUCCCAAGAUAGUUUGACAAACUUAAGACUACAUAUUUGAAAUAGCUAAGUGUGAGGAGUACUUGUAUUACACACAAUUAUGGAUCAUUAAUAUCAGAUGUGAAAACAAUAAUGAAUAAACAAACAAAUAUUGUAUCAGGUUGAGAGGAUUUUCUCUUCUUCAUGUUGGCUCACUCCUGCUAUAUACAAGGAAUUGUUGUCCAGAUUAGCUUUAAGCCCCGAUACAAUUAACAAGUGAUUGAAAGCUUGGAAUUUGAGAACUAAUCCAAAUUAGAGUGUCUUUGAAGGUCACAUGUACAUUCACUAUUUAAUUGAAGAUAAACACUUACAUGUUG
rnacentral:lncRNA from 1 species